AGCAGUCGCAGUGUGUGAUUUAGUGUAACAUCACUGAACAGAGCAACAACAAAGGAAUAAAAUCUCCAUCUACUGACGGCAGCCGCACACACUCCUGCUUAAUCUACACCUCUUUUAAACUAUUGAUAAAAGAUGAGAUGUGAGGGAGAUUAAUGAGCUAAAUACUGGUUAGGAAGAGGGGUUAAUGCGCCCGUUCGGUCUGGUGGCCAUUUUGAAAUGAUACAAGCCUUUAACAAUUUUACGUGAAGGUGCUGAAUCAUUCAAUUUUGAGUCGGUUUGUAUUUAAUUCAUUAUACCGCUAUAAUCUAAUAAGGGUCAGGUGUCUUCUUCACCCUUUUUCAUAAUAAUGUCAAAAAUGAUGGAGAGCUCGAGCCUGAGAUUGGGAUCCAGUCUCCACACAAAUGCAUUUCAAGUUUGGAAAUCAGAACUACUGCAUUGAUGGAGAUGGAGAUGGAGAUGGAGAUGGUGAUGGAGGCAGAGAUCUAAUGGAGAAGCUGCUGUUUGUGUCUGAGCGAGAAUGACGUGUCCCGCAGACUGGUCAUAAAUCACCGGGCACGCGCGCUGUGAGCGCCGUCAUUUCUCCCGUGUACCGAAGACCGGAGAGGAAAAAGAGAUGUAUCUUGGGGCACGAGCCGGGAGUCAACACGCCGCGUGCUGCUUAGGGUUUCAUUUGAAUACCGUAUCUGCUAGCUGAAGCUGACAACAAAUCAAUCAGGUGGCAGGUUGCGCUCGGGGUCUCGGAGCGUUUUCAUCAGACAGCAGGACGUCGUUAACAUUCUGCACCAACGCCAGCUCAGCUGCUCACUUCACCAUUCAUCUCACUCACAUUCUUCUCCUUCAUUAUUCCCAAACACUUCAUCUUCUUCUUCUGCUGCUGCUACUUUUUUUUAGCAUUUCAUGUCAUUUUUUGAAGAAUCCACCAUUUGAUCCUUGACAUUUGUUUGAAGAAAAUCUAAUAAAGACUUAUUGAAAUUAUUAACAAACAUUAACCCUAGACUAUAAGUUGUAGUCAAAAAUCAAUUAAUUAAUUAUGAAUCAAUUAACAGGUAUCUAAUUAGCAGGGUUUUAUAAAUGAAGUGCUCAGAAAUACUUCUAUUAGGUUAAUCUGAUUAACAACAGUUAUUAAUAUUAUACAGUUUAUUAGGAACACCUGCACACAUUCUUGUCUAAUCAGAUAACCACUCUGUACUCUCGUGUUGAGCAGAAAAGCAUCUCAGACUGAACAUCGUGUCAAACCUUCAGGUAGAUGAGAAACAAGAUUAUCCUUCAGCAGCCGUCAGCAGGAACUGUGUGAUGCAUGUGAUCAUCAUAACAUCUUGCGUGAUCCACAUCCGGAAGGGUCUGAGGUAUGAGCUGGGAGAAAAACCCAGGAUCGGUAUUUAGCUAUUUUGGAAAUGAUUGUGAAGAAAUAUAAUAAUAAUGUGAAUGAAUCGUUAUCUGUGAUUUAUAGCGGUCCUUUUCUAAGGAAAAAAAAUCAUGAGAACAAAAAUUAUUUCUGGUUUUUUUUUUUCCUCUUUCUGAUUUUGCGUGAAAGAUCGAGGUCGUGUCACUAAUCCCAAAGUCAAGGUGGGUUUAUUAAAGAUUAAU